GGGCGACUAGUUCAGAGGAAGAAUGCUUCCUUGACGCGGAAGAGGCCACUGGUUCGAGUCCAGUGUCGCCCACCA
rnacentral:tRNA from 1 species